UACGAAGGGGGCGAGCGUUGUUCGGAUUUACUGGGCGUAAAGGGCGCGCAGGCGGCUCAUUUUGUCAGGCGUGAAAGCCCCGGGCUUAACCUGGGAACUGCGUUUGAUACGGAUGGGCUAGAGUUCGGGAGAGGAGAGUGGAAUUCCCGAGUGUAGAGGUGAAAUUCGUAGAUAUUGGGAAGAACACCGGUGGCGAAGGCGGCUCUCUGGACCGAGACUGACGCUGAGGCGCGAAAGCGUGGGGAGCAAACAGG
rnacentral:rRNA from 1 species